ACACAUUUUUCAAAAAAAUACUAUUCCAACCAUUAAAAUUUGGUAAGAAUGGGAGCCAAACGAGGGCUAAAUAACAUUACCCAUAUUCUAAAGAGCCUAUCAACUGCAUAAACAAACUUAAUUAUUCUCAAUUACACACUUCUUUUUAUUUUUGGCGAUCCUUGAUCUACUAUGCAAGCAAUUAUUUAGUACAGUAACUAUUUAUGCUUUGUGACACACAUCUCCAUCACAAGUCCAGCCUUCCUUGGGAUUCUUCUCUUCAUCUUCUCCCUGGACAUCACCCUUGUCCUAAUCCUCGGCCAUCUUCUCGUAAUGUUCCUCAAUCUCCCUGAUGCGUUCCUCAGUGAACGGGUAAGCAUUUGCAUUGUGAUCAGUGAUGAGAUUUUUGGCUCCAUCAUGCCUGUUGACCCUACUACUACUAACGCUGGGAUGCCUUGAAUCUUGAGCAGACGGCUUAAAGAUCCCUUCUGUUAGAGUUGUGAUGCCAAUUUUUGGAAUUAUAACUCAACAUUGGGCUAUGAUGAUAAAUUGGGCUAAGCCCAUUGCAGAUACUACAACCCAUUACCCGAUAACUCAAACAAGAGGCCCAAAAUCCGAGCCCAACGUUUGGCCACGUGUGUUGCUCCGAACCAUUGGAUCUCCUAGGUAAUAUCAACGGUGAUGAUAUUUUAUAUGAAUAAAAGGCUGAUGGUUUGCCCUAAGGAAUUCGAUCACUCUCUUUCUGCUUCCUGAACUCUCUAGAAAGGCCGACUUUCUGGUUCUCUUUCUGAGUUGUCUUCUUUGUGAUUUUUCUGAUUUCUUUAGUGACUCAGAGUUUAUUCUGUGAGAAUCUUAGUGAUUCUUGUGAAAGGGAUAAGGGUUGCUAUUAUGAGGGGGGUUUUCCUACUGGUUCGUCGAAGCAACUGCGUUCGGUUUCCUGUGUAGGGUUUGUGUAUAUUUUGGGUCUCCUAGUUUGUACAGAAGGGUACAAUGGUUACUGAGCCCAUGAGUCGAUGAAAUCUUUGUGUCAAUAGAUUUUUCGAGUCUGUAAUUUUACAGUGAUAUUCUUUGAAGUAUACUUUGUGUAUUCUUCGAGUUCUUGGAAUAAUAGUGGUAUCAGAGCCAGCUGUGGCGUGUUGACUUGGUUCGAUUGUGAUCUGGUUGUGAAAAAUUUAUUUUCACAGUCAGAUCUUAAGAGUCUCAUGUGACCGAACCUAGAUCUGUUCGAUUGAUUUUAGAUCUUAUAUCUCUGAGUUUAUUUCCAUAUUUUUGUUUUCUUUUCUCAACUGAUAUUGGUUAACUUCGUGUUGUCUCUGUUAGUUCUUGCAGCUCCCGAUUAGCGAACUGAGGUUUUUGCGACUAUCAUUGGGUGACCAACAUCAGACUCGAGGCAUUCUUGGUGAAUUGGUAGUCCUGACUCGAUUACUAUUGUUUGGUUUGCAGUUCUGACCUAACAUAACACUUAAUCAAUUUUUUGUUCGUGCUGUAUAUAUAUGAUAUACAUCUGUAGUUACACAAUUUGUAAACUGCAUUUGUGUUCUAGUUCUGUGUGAAACAUUGGUAAUAUCAUUUCCUGUUUUUGGUCUUGAUGCCCCAAGUUGAGCCUUGACCUGAGGACAUGAUCCUCACGGAAUCCUGGUGAACUUGGGCAUUUAAGGCCUAAAGUGUAUUGCAUUGAACACACUGCUACUUCUUGAUAUUGUGAAUACUUUGUGUACUUAUACUUUUUCCUUUGAUUCUUGAAACUUCUUGGUACUGAAUAACUUGUCUGACUUUAAGUAUUGUCAAAUUUCUUAUUCUGUAUCUACUUUUCUUGCUGAACAUUGAACCUCCAAUAAUUUUUCUUGUGUUGAUUAAGAACUUCAA
rnacentral:lncRNA from 1 species